AAGGCCUGAUGUGUGUGAGAUUACCCGCUGAAUUUAAGCAUAUAAGUAAGCGGAGGAAAAGAAACUAACUAGGAUUCCCUUAGUAAUGGCGAAUGAACAGGGAUCAGCUCAGUGCCAAAUCGGAAUCACUUGUGGUUCUGAAAUGUGGCUUGAAGGCAGUACCAGUGGCAUCGCGGACGAAAGUCUCUGGAAAAGAGC
rnacentral:ncRNA from 1 species